rnacentral:rRNA from 1 species
UACGGGGGAUGCGAGCGUUAUCCGGAUUUAUUGGGUUUAAAGGGUGCGCAGGCGGGAGAUUAAGUCGGCGGUGAAAUUUUGCAGCUCAACUGUAAAAGUGCCUUCGAAACUGGUUUCCUUGAGUGUAUAUGAAGUAGGCGGAAUUUGUAGUGUAGCGGUGAAAUGCAUAGAUAUUACAAGGAACUCCGAUUGCGAAGGCAGCUUACUAAAUUACAACUGACGCUUAGGCACGAAGGCGUGGGUAUCAAACAGGAUUAGAUACCCCGGUAGUCCCUGAG